GGAUCAUUGUCGAAAUCGAACGGAAGAACGACCCGCGAAUCGUCAUUGCGUAGUAGACAGAGCCCGUGAGCACCUAACGCUCAUGGGUCUCGCGUCGCGUCGGCGCGGGUGUACUCGAGACCCGCGUCGUACCGGCGGACAAACAACGUCAGCACGGAUCGUGCCAAGGAGCUGCAUGGAGAGAAUCGUCGUCCCACGCCCUCGAUAGUCCUCGACGCGGGACGGGGGAUGUACGCAAUCUCUACUCAAGUCUAAACGACUCUCGGCAACGGAUAUCUCGGCUCUUGCAUCGAUGAAGAACGUAGCGAAAUGCGAUACUUGGUGUGAAUUGCAGAAUCCCGGAACCAUCAAUUCUUUGAACGCAAGUUGCGCCCGAAGCCAUUCGGCCGAGGGCACGCCUGCCUGGGCGUCGUGAAUCCCCUUGCCCCUAGGCACCCGCGUGAGCAUUGGCGGGGAUAUAUGCUCGGGCGCAGAAUAUGGCCUCCCGUGGGAUCGGCAUGCGCGGCAUGUCGAGGUGCGGUUGGCCGAAAAUCGAGCAUGGCGGUGACGGGCACCACGGCGUUCGGUGGAUCGAACGAGAUUGGCUGCGUCGUGGGCUCGGCAUGCGGCGGGCUCCGGACUUUGAAUAUCCCCGAGUGCGAUCCCAGGUCAGGCGGGGCUACCCGCUGAGUUUAAGCAUAUCAAUAAGCGGAGGAAAAGAAACUAACGAGGAUUCCCUUAGUAGCGGC
rnacentral:rRNA from 1 species